AAAAAAACAAGGCAGAACUCAAUUUAAUUCAAAUUAGUUUACAAAAGGACAACUGUGAAGACUUCCAAACGGAAGAGCAAGAAAUCCCGUCGUGUGUCACCUUAUU